rnacentral:rRNA from 1 species
ACGAACGCUGGCGGCAGGCUUAACACAUGCAAGUCGAACGCGCCCUUCGGGGUGAGUGGCAGACGGGUGAGUAACGCGUGGGAACAUACCCUUCGGACUGGAAUAACNGGGGGAAACUUCAGCUAAGACCGGAUACGUGCGAGAGCAGAAUGAUUUAUCGCCGAAGGAUUGGCCCGCGUCCGAUUAGCUAGUUGGUGUUGGUAAUGGCUCACCAAGGCGACGAUCGGUAGCUGGCUGAGAGGAUGACCAGCCACAUUGGGACUGAGACACGGCCCAAACUCCUACGGGAGGCAGCAGUGGGGAAUAUUGGACAAUGGGCGCAAGCCUGAUCCAGCCAUGCCGCGUGAGUGAUGACGGCCUUAGGGUUGUAAGCUCUUUCGCACGCGACGAUAAUG